CUCCCUGUGGCUCAGUUGGUAGAGCAUGGUGUUUGCAACGCCAGGGUUUUUGGUUCGAUUCCCACCGCGGGCC
rnacentral:tRNA from 1 species